GCUACGGGUGGCAGCAGUGGGGAAUAUUGCACAAUGGGGGAAACCCUGAUGCAGCGACGCCGCGUGAAGGAUGAAGUCUUUCGGUAUGUAAACUUCUAUCAGCAGGGCAGAAAAUGACGGUACCUGACUAAGCAGCCCCGGCUACCUACGUGCCAGCAUCCGCGGUAAUCCGUAGGGGGCACGCGUUAUCCGGCUUUACUGGGUGUAACGGGAGCGUAGACGGGAUGGCAAGUCUGAUGUGACACCCCGGGGCUCAACCCCGGGACGGCAGUGGAAACGGCAGAACUAGAGUGUCGGAGAGGAAAGUGGAAUUCCUAGUGUAGCGGUGAAAUGCGUAGAUAGUAGGAGGAACCCACGUGGCGAAGGCGGGUGGCUGGGCGAUGACUGACGUUGAGGCUCGAAAGCGUGGGGAGCAAACAGGAUUAGAUACCCCAGUAGUC
rnacentral:rRNA from 1 species